GUCUGGGUGGCUCAGUCGGUUGGGUGUCUGACUUUGGCUCAGGUCAUGAUCUCACGGUUUGUGGGUUCGAGCCCCACAUCAGGCU
rnacentral:tRNA from 1 species